rnacentral:rRNA from 1 species
GACGAACGCUGGCGGCGUGCUUAACACAUGCAAGUCGAACGGAAAGGCCCUGCUUUUGUGGGGUGCUCGAGUGGCGAACGGGUGAGUAACACGUGAGUAACCUGCCCUUGACUUUGGGAUAACUUCAGGAAACUGGGGCUAAUACCGGAUAGGAGCUCCUGCUGCAUGGUGGGGGUUGGAAAGUUUCGGCGGUUGGGCAUGGACUCGCGGCUUAUCAGCUUGUUGGUGGGGUAGUGGCUUACCAAGGCUUUGACGGGUAGCCGGCCUGAGAGGGUGACCGGCCACAUUGGGACUGAGAUACGGCCCAGACUCCUACGGGAGGCAGCAGUGGGGAAUAUUGCACAAUGGGCGGAAGCCUGAUGCAGCAACGCCGCGUGCGGGAUGACGGCCUUCGGUUUGUAAACCGCUUUCGCCUGUGACGAAGCGUGAGUGACGGUAAUGGGUAAAGAAGCACCGGCUAACUACGUG